CCUGAAUUAACAUACCCUCUGUAAUCCUUUCAAACACUGUAUAUAUAACAACAUACACAUACUCUGAACUGGAUCAGAAGUUCAGAUGAUCAGUAACUCUUUUCCAUCCCAUCUCUCUUCUCCACAGGUCCUCAGCACCAAAAAAAAAAAAAAAAAAAAAGGACUCACCUUUAAAAAACAAAUUAAUAAGAGUUUACCAUUAAAGUAAGGAUGAUGAGCAGAGCUGUCAGAGUAACCCAAGAUGUAGAGAAAUUUGGACAUUCAUCCUAAAUCCACAUCCUGAAGGAAUCAAGGCCCUCCUAGAGAGGCUAUAUCUUUGGAUACUUCAAAACCAAUUUGGCAUCUGCUCAUUCUCUGAGUUUCAGGUAAAUGCAAGCAUUAUACAGUUGCCAUGAAAAACUUGUUUAGAUGCAGUUUCCUAACUUCUUCCCUAUCUCAUUCUCUCUCUAGCAAGUGGAAAGAAACUGCUGGAGGAGAUAAGAAAGACAUCACCCUCCUCCAUUUUGCCUUCUCCUCACUCUUCUGUGAGCUCACUCACAAUCCAAACAGGCAGAGAGAGCUAGUAAUGGUUUCUAAGAUGCCAGUUUAGGAAAAUACAGUGACCCUGCUUCGAAUUCAGGAGUGCAUGAACCAUGCUGGUAUUACUCUGUCUCCAGUGACUGGGCACAUGCUGAACACAUAGAAGGCCCUUGAAGGAAUGAUGAGUUGAAAAAAAAUUCACUCCUUUCUUCUAGUGUGAUAGCCACAGCUCUUGGUCAUUCUUCCUCUGAACCAUAUUCAAUAAAGUCUGAUUGUUAAUAACAAGGCAUCAUUAUGCAUUUAUUGUGUGCUAGGUACAAGAUGACCAUUAUUUCAUUUGAUUAUUAAAUCAAUCUCAUGGCACCAGCAUUAUUACCAACAUUUUCAAAUAAAGAGGCUGGAUCUUAGGUCAGUAAUUUUCUCAGGAUAUCAUGGUACUGAAUAGCAAAUCUAGGUCUCUAAGACCUGGGUCUACUUAUUGAGUGCCUGGUAGGAGUGAGGC
rnacentral:lncRNA from 1 species